CCUACGGGCGGCUGCAGUGGGGAAUAUUGGACAAUGGGGGCAACCCUGAUCCAGCCAUGCCGCGUGUGUGAAGAAGGCCCUCGGGUUGUAAAGCACUUUCAGUGAGGAAGAACGCCUGGUGGUUAAUACCCAUCAGGAAAGACAUCACUCACAGAAGAAGCACCGACUAACUCCGUGCCAGCAGCCGCGGUAAUACGGAGGGUGCGAGCGUUAAUCGGAAUUACUGGGCGUAAAGCGCGCGUAGGUGGCUUGAUAAGCCGGUUGUGAAAGCCCCGGGCUCAACCUGGGAACGGCAUCCGGAACUGUCAAGCUAGAGUGCAGGAGAGGAAGGUAGAAUUCCCGGUGUAGCGGUGAAAUGCGUAGAGAUCGGGAGGAAUACCAGUGGCGAAGGCGGCCUUCUGGACUGACACUGACACUGAGGUGCGAAAGCGUGGGUAGCAAACAGGAUUAGAUACCCUUGUAGUC
rnacentral:rRNA from 1 species